CCUACGGGAGGCAGCAGUGGGGAAUUUUGGACAAUGGGCGAAAGCCUGAUCCAGCAAUGCCGCGUGUGGGAAGAAGGCCUUCGGGUUGUAAACCACUUUUGUACGGAACGAAACGGUUCGCUUUAAUACAGUGGGCUAAUGACGGUACCGUAAGAAUAAGCACCGGCUAACUACGUGCCAGCAGCCGCGGUAAUACGUAGGGUGCGAGCGUUAAUCGGAAUUACUGGGCGUAAAGCGUGCGCAGGCGGUUAUAUAAGACAGUUGUGAAAUCCCCGGGNUCAACCUGGGAAUUGCAUCUGUGACUGUAUAGCUAGAGUACGGUAGAGGGGGAUGGAAUUCCGCGUGUAGCAGUGAAAUGCGUAGAUAUGCGGAGGAACACCGAUGGCGAAGGCAAUCCCCUGGACCUGUACUGACGCUCAUGCACGAAAGCGUGGGGAGCAAACAGGAUUAGAUACCCUGGUAGUCCACGCCCUAAACGACUGUCAACUGGUUGUUGGGUGCAUUAGUACUCAGUAACGAAGCUAACGCGUGAAGUUGACCGCUGGGAUGGCGCAGUUGAACUCAAGGAUGACG
rnacentral:rRNA from 1 species